CUUGACCGGAGCGUAAACAACCAUACAUCCACAGACGGCUAAUGAAACACAAAAUACAAAUACAAGAAAGAAAAAAUUAAAUACCCUUUCAUUACUGAGAAAAAUGAAAAUUACAGUACAACUGCCGCCCCCUCCCAAAUUCGCCUCGGUCAAGAGCCCCCGCGCCGCACGGACUUGGGUGACGUCAUUUCGUGUAGACUCGAAUUGUUUGCUAUAAUUCUUCGCCGCGCGAUGUUCGAGAUCUACAUUGAUUUUGCGUACCGUGAAUCCUUUCUGCUUUUUAUCGAUUGAAGUUUGAGAAGUUUUGAGAAGUCUUUCUAAAGAGAAUGGCUACCCCAGUCGUCAGGGCAGAUGCACAAGAUGAUUUAGUUAUGGAAUUUGAGUGUGAGGAGGAUGGCAGUUGCGGGGAAAGCGGUGAAAAUGACAGUGUCAGUGGUAGUAGUGACAGUCCGGACAGUACUGGCAGCAGCAGUGAUACCGACAGCGAUGCAAGUGAUGCAGACGCCGGAGAACACGGGCGUAUCGUCGAGUGGGAGUAUGUAUGAGCCUUUAAUUACCUCGUGGUGAACCUGGGCAAAAUGUUGGCGAUGCUGGAAGGGCCAACAACGCAAAUCGGCUUCAUGAAAAUGUCGAGGAUUGGUGUACAUGUGGAAGAUGUCAUGUGCCUCCAUCUUUCAAUGAAGGUGAUUGUGUCUGUUGUCAGGAAAUUGCAGAGGUCAAGGCAGAGGCUGAUCGACAGGGUUCAAGUUGUCUGGUGGAUUCUGAGGAGUUUGAGCCGGCCAUCCUAAAUGCGACAACAUUGUACAUCGGAUGGAUGGAGUACACAGAUAGGUGGCGCCGAGCAGCCAAAGCAUUUGGGGACAGGAACAAUGAAAAAUACAGGUAUGUGGCCUACAGGAAAGUCGUGAGAUGGUGUUGGGGCUGGCUCGGGAAGGACAUCAGGGUGCAACUGCCAGCAUGUGUCCAUGCCUCAAUAAUGGAAGCGUAUCCUGAUGGACGUGGUCAGUACAAAGGGACCAUCCUGCGUCGGUUGAGAUGAGGAUGUAACAUCAACUAUUGUCUUGCGAACUUUGAAUGACUGUCAUCUUCUAUGUGAUUGUCAGCCAUCUUCUGUACGUUAUUUGUGAUCAUCGGCUUUCAUCUUCAUAUUCAUCACAAAUACUAUUGUUUGAACUUCUCAUGAUGGUAUGGUUGCUAUGAACUUUGAUCUCGACAUUUGAUUCUAAUUUCCAAGAGCUGAUAUUCGAACUUUUGCAAAACUGUGAUCAAGCAACGAUUUCUUAUGAGGAAGAAUGUUGAAAUCUAUAUAAACAAGCAACAACAA
rnacentral:lncRNA from 1 species